AAGUCGUAACAAGGUCUCCGUUGGUGAACCAGCGGAGGGAUCAUUACUGAGUUACCGCUCUACAACCCUUUGUGAACAUACCUAACCGUUGCUUCGGCGGGCAGGGGAAGCCUCUCGCGGGCGACCCCUCCCGGCGCCGGCCCCAUCACGGGGGCGGAGCGCCCGCCGGAGGAAACCAAACUCUAUUUACACGACGUCUCUUCUGAGUGGCACAAGCAAAUAAUUAAAACUUUUAACAACGGAUCUCUUGGUUCUG
rnacentral:misc_RNA from 1 species